GCCUAUGGUCAUACUACCCUGAACAAGCCUGAUCCUGGCUGAUCUCGGAAGCUAAGCACGGUCAGGCCUGGUUUAAUUGGAUGGGACACCACCUAGGCAAACCAGGUGCUGUAGGUG
rnacentral:rRNA from 1 species